CGGCGCCAUCCGCCAGAGUUCGGGCAGCUCCGCGAUCCCUGCGCAGGGAGGGCCGGGUCGCUAAAGGCGCCGGUGGGCGGGCCGGGAUUGGACGGGAGCAGAUUGAAGGUGGUGUGGAGCCCGGUGACCACUUUUCACUCAACAGAUACCUCAUCCCUUGGAUGGCAAAACUGAUAGAUGCUUUAAGUGCUGGUAGCUCUUACCAGAAUGAUUCUGAGCGAGCUACACACUGCACCUAUUUUCAGUCGCUGAUUUUCACACCAGACUCUUGCCAAACAUUGCCUGUUUAGAUCAUAUGCUGCUCGUGGAGUGCCUGCUGAGAAUUCCGGAGAAAAUCCAAUCCAAGGAAAAUAACGGCACAUCAUGCUAAUAGCUCUCAGCGAAGGUACUGUGUAGAGAAAUUCCCGGCCCGUGUCUCACUGCCAGAGGCUUAGCGGUUCCCAGCUGGAGGGAGGAAGGUGGGGCAGGACCUGCCAACUGCAGCGUGGUGGCUUGGAGGCUUUCAAGUCUCCACCAACUCUAAACAAUGUUGAGGAAGACAGGAUGCUUCCCCAGACUCUACACAGGAAUUGCUCCCAUUUGACGCCCAGCACAAGAGCAGAUGCUGCUCGAGAUAAAAUCUUCCAGUAAGCCAUAGUGUAUGCUGUGAGGAACAAUUAAAGAACAAUAUAAUUGGAGGGGAAAUUGUGGAGAGCGGACAAAAAUCCGGGACAGGAGAGGUCACUAGAGGUUACAGUCAUCAGUGAGGGCUUUAAGGCAAAUAGGGAGUUAUGUCAGAAGUUUUGUUUGUUUGGGGCGCCUGGGUGGCUCAGUUGGUUAAGCGUCUGACUUCGACUCAGGCCAUGAUCUCACAGUUCAUGAGUUUGAGUCCUGUCGGGCUCUGUGCUGACAGCUUGGAGCCUGGAGCCUGCUUCGGAUUCUCCCUGUCUCUCUGCCCCUCCCCCACUUGCACUCUGUGUGUGUCUCUCUCAAAAAUAAAUAUUAAAAAAAAUGUUU